AGUAUACUGGCUUAUGCUGCUCACUGUCAGACAGACUCAGAGGGGCGUCCUCUGGCUGGGGCUAUGAUCAUCUGUAGAGAGACCCUCAGUAUGGAAAGAUACACACAUGAGCAUUUUGUGCAGACAGUGAUCCAUGAGCUGUUCCACGUGUUGGGCUUCAGUAAAGAGCUCUUCAGCCGAUGGAAGGAUUGUUCUCUCUCCUCUCAGGCUGGCAUAGACUGCUGGUCUCAUGGU